GAUUACCUGCGAUAAGCCUCGUAGAGCUGGAAAUAUGCUAUGAAACGGGGAUUUCCGAAUGGGGAAACCUAACUAUGGUAAUGCAUAGUUGCUUAUGUCUGAAUACAUAGGACAUAAAGCGAGAUACCUUGUGAACUGAAACAUCUUAGUAGCAAGAGGAAAAGAAAAUAAAUAAUGAUUUCUUUAGUAGCGGCGAGCGAACGAGAAAUAGCCCAAACCAUUUUAAAUGGGGUCAUAGGACAGACUACAUAGAGUUACAAAAUUUAAUAAUAGCAGAAGCUUUUGGGAAGAAGCGGCACAGAAGGUGAUACCCCUGUAUGCGAAAUUAUUAAAU
rnacentral:rRNA from 1 species